AGAGUUUGAUCCUGGCUCAGAAUGAACGCUGGCGGCGUGCCUAACACAUGCAAGUCGGAUGUGCCGCAAGGUGCAUGGCAGACGGGUGAGUAACGCGUGGGGAAUCUACCUCUUUGUGGGGAAUAACGCUCCGAAAGGAGUGGUAAUACCGCAUGAGACCUUCGGCUGGGAUGCUGGAGGUGAAACCUGGGGACCGCAAGGCCUGGGGCAAGGAGAGGAUCCUGCGUCUGAUUAGCUAGUUGGCGGGGUAAUGGCCCACCAAGGCGACGAUCAGUAGCCGGCCUGAGAGGGUGAUCGGCCACACUGGAACUGAGACACGGUCCAGACUCCUACGGGAGGCAGCAGUGGGGAAUUUUGCGCAAUGGACGAGAGUCUGACGCAGCAACGCCGCGUGGGUGAUGAAGGUCUUCGGACUG
rnacentral:rRNA from 1 species